UGCGCCUUGCCAGCCCGCCUCAGAAACUACAAGGAAUUGAGGGGGCCCGCACAAGCGGUGGAGCAUGUGGUUUAAUUUCGAAGCAACGCGCAGAACCUUACCUGGGCUUGACAUCCCGAUCGCACCUUUUGGAAACUUAAGGGUCAGUUCGGCUGGAUCGGUGACAGGUGCUGCAUGGCUGUCGUCAGCUCGUGUCGUGAGAUGUUGGGUUAAGUCCGCAACGAGCGCAACCCUCGUCCUUAGUUGCCAGCAUUAAGUUGGGCACUCUAAGGAGACUGCCGGUGUUAAACCGGAGGAAGGCGGGGAUGACGUCAAGUCCUCAUGGCCCUUAUGUCCAGGGCUACACACGUGCUACAAUGGCCGGUACAAAGGGUAGCAAGACCGCGAGGUGGAGCCAACCCCAAAAAGCCGGUCUCAGUUCGGAUUGGAGUCUGCAACUCGACUCCAUGAAGUUGGAAUCGCUAGUAAUCGUGGAUCAGCAUGCCACGGUGAAUACGUUCCCGGGCCUU
rnacentral:rRNA from 1 species